rnacentral:rRNA from 1 species
UACGGGGGGUCCAAGCGUUGUUCGGAAUCACUGGGCGUAAAGCGCAUGUAGGUGGCUUUUCAAGUCAACUGUGAAAGCCCAGGGCCUAACCCUGGAAGUGCAGUUGAUACUGUUGAGCUUGAGUACGAGAGAGGAUAGUGGAAUUCCAGGUGUAGUGGUGAAAUACGUAGAUAUCUGGAGGAACAUCGGUGGCGAAGGCGGCUAUCUGGCUCGAUACUGACACUGAGAUGCGAAAGCGUGGGGAUCAAACAGG